rnacentral:rRNA from 1 species
AACAUUGGACAAUGUGCGAAAGCCUGAUCCGGCCAUGCCGCGUGUGUGAAGAAGGUCUCCCGAUUGGAUAGCACUUUAUGUCGGGAGGAAGGGCAGCAAGUUAAUACCUUGCUGGUCUGACCUUACCGCCAGCAUCAGCCCCGGCCAACAUCGUGCCAGCAGCCGCGGUAAUACGAAGGGUGCAAGCGUUAAUCGGAAUUACUGGGCGUAAAGCGCGCGUAGGUGGUUUGUUAAGUUGGAAGUGAAAGCCCCGGGCUCAACCUGGGAACUGCUUUCAAAACUGGCAAGCUAGAGUAUGGCAGAGGGUGGUGGAAUUUCCUGUGUAGCGGUGAAAUGCGUAGAUAUAGGAAGGAACACCAGUGGCGAAGGCGGCUACCUGGACUGAUACUGACACUGAGGUGCGAAAGCGUGGGGAGCAAAC